rnacentral:rRNA from 1 species
GACGAACGCUGGCGGCGUGCCUAAUACAUGCAAGUCGAACGAGAGCACCCGGUGCUUGCACUGGUCAAUCUAGUGGCGAACGGGUGAGUAACACGUGGGUAACCUGCCCAUCAGAGGGGGAUAACAUCCGGAAACGGAUGCUAAAACCGCAUAGGUCUUCGAACCGCAUGGUUUGAAGAGGAAAAGAGGCGCAAGCUUCUGCUGAUGGAUGGACCCGCGGUGCAUUAGCUAGUUGGUGAGGUAACGGCUCACCAAGGCCGUGAUGCAUAGCCGACCUGAGAGGGUGAUCGGCCACAUUGGGACUGAGACACGGCCCAAACUCCUACGGGAGGCAGCAGUAGGGAAUCUUCCGCAAUGGACGCAAGUCUGACGGAGCAACGCCGCGUGAGUGAAGAAGGUUUUCGGAUCGUAAAACUCUGUUGUUAGAGAAGAACAAGUGCUAGAGUAACUGUUAGCACCUUGACGGUAUCUAACCAGAAAGCCACGGCUAACUACGUG